UGGGGAAUUUUGGACAAUGGGCGAAAGCCUGAUCCAGCAAUGCCGCGUGUGUGAAGAAGGCCUUCGGGUUGUAAAGCACUUUUGUCCGGAAAGAAAUCCUUGGCUCUAAUACAGUCGGGGGGAUGACGGUACCGGAAGAAUAAGCACCGGCUAACUACGUGCCAGCAGCCGCGGUAAUACGUAGGGUGCAAGCGUUAAUCGGAAUUACUGGGCGUAAAGCGUGCGCAGGCGGUUUGCUAAGACCGAUGUGAAAUCCCCGGGCUCAGCCUGGGAACUGCAUUGGUGACUGGCAGGCUAGAGUAUGGCAGAGGGGGGUAGAAUUCCACGUGUAGCAGUGAAAUGCGUAGAGAUGUGGAGGAAUACCGAUGGCGAAGGCAGCCCCCUGGGCCAAUACUGACGCUCAUGCACGAAAGCGUGGGGAGCAAAUAGGAUUAGAUACCCUGGUAGUCCACGCCCUAAACGAUGUCAACUAGUUGUUGGGGAUUCAUUUUCCUUAGUAACGUAGCUAACGCGUGAAGUUGACCGCCUGGGGGAGUACGGUCGCAAGAUU
rnacentral:rRNA from 1 species